rnacentral:rRNA from 1 species
AUUGAACGCUGGCGGCAUGCUUUACACAUGCAAGUCGAACGGUAACAGGGUGCUUGCACCGCUGACGAGUGGCGAACGGGUGAGUAAUGCGUCGGAACGUGCCGAGUAGUGGGGGAUAACGCAUCGAAAGGUGUGCUAAUACCGCAUACGUACUGAGGUAGAAAGUGGGGGACCUUCGGGCCUCACGCUAUUCGAGCGGCCGACGUCUGAUUAGCUAGUUGGUGAGGUAAAGGCUCACCAAGGCGACGAUCAGUAGCGGGUCUGAGAGGAUGAUCCGCCACACUGGGACUGAGACACGGCCCAGACUCCUACGGGAGGCAGCAGUGGGGAAUUUUGGACAAUGGGCGCAAGCCUGAUCCAGCCAUGCCGCGUGUCUGAAGAAGGCCUUCGGGUUGUAAAGGACUUUUGUCCGGGAGCAAAUACCCAGUGCUAAUAACGCUGGGGGCUGAGAGUACCGGAAGAAUAAGCACCGGCUAACUACAUGCCAGCCGCCGCUGUAAAAC